AUUGAACGCUGGCGGCAUGCCUUACACAUGCAAGUCGAACGGAUUGAGGGGCUUGCUCCUCAGUUAGUGGCGAACGGGUGAGUAAUGCAUCGGAACGUACCUUUUUGUGGGGGAUAACUACUCGAAAGAGUAGCUAAUACCGCAUACGCCCUGAGGGGGAAAGCGGGGGACUCGCAAGAGCCUCGCGCAAAGAGAGCGGCCGAUGUCAGAUUAGCUAGUUGGUAGGGAAAGCCUACCAAGGCGACGAUCUGUAGCUGGUCUGAGAGGACGACCAGCCACACUGGGACUGAGACACGGCCCAGACUCCUACGGGAGGCAGCAGUGGGGAAUUUUGGACAAUGGGCGAAAGCCUGAUCCAGCCAUGCCGCGUGAGUGAAGAAGGCCU
rnacentral:rRNA from 1 species